GAUGAACGCUGGCGGCGUGCCUAAUACAUGCAAGUCGAGCGAACGGACGAGAAGCUUGCUUCUCUGAUGUUAGCGGCGGACGGGUGAGUAACACGUGGAUAACCUACCUAUAAGACUGGGAUAACUUCGGGAAACCGGAGCUAAUACCGGAUAAUAUUUUGAACCGCAUGGUUCAAAAGUGAAAGACGGUCUUGCUGUCACUUAUAGAUGGAUCCGCGCUGCAUUAGCUAGUUGGUAAGGUAACAGCUUACCAAGGCAACGAUGCAUAGCCGACCUGAGAGGGUGAUCGGCCACACUGGAACUGAGACACGGUCCAGACUCCUACGGGAGGCAGGAGUAGGGAAUCUUCCGCAAUGGGCGAAAGCCUGACGGAGCAACGCCGCGUGAGUGAUGAAGGUCUUCGGAUCGUAAAACUCUGUUAUUAGGGAAGAACAUAUGUGUAAGUAACUGUGCACAUCUUGACGGUACCUAAUCAGAAAGCCACGGCUAACUACGUG
rnacentral:rRNA from 1 species